rnacentral:lncRNA from 1 species
GAGAGAAUUCCAAAUGAUGAUGAAGAUGUGGAGGAUGAUUUUGGAGAAAGACCACCACCUACGCCUUUGAAUGAGAGUAGUUCUCAUAGAAGAGAUGGAGAUGAUUUUUUCUAUGAUGAUUUUGAUUGAACGAUGUUUCUAGACUAGUGUAGAGAGUCUAGACAUUAUUUUGGCUUGCUAUGGUGGUGUUUUAUUAGUUAUUAGACUACAUAUUUGUGAUGGUUGGUUGCAACUUUAUUUUCUAUGUGGUGUUUGUUGAAUUAUUCAUUUCUUUUACUAAUUUUUAAUAUCAAGUGUUUUGUUUUUGGAUUGUUAUUGCUAAGUAUUUACAUAAUUAUGCCUUUAAUGUUAUUCUAUAGUGUUAUGUUUUGAGUUUUAAUGUUAUUCUAUAGUGUUAUGUUUUGAGUUUUAAUGUAUAUGAAAUUUUAUUCCCAGUAUACUUGUUAAGUAAAAUAAAUAAUAUAUAAAUUGUACAUUGUAAACGACUUGUCGCCUUACGGACGCCAUGACGGUUGCCUUGUCGCCUAGGCGUCCAGGCAGUCGGCUACUGCCAUGACUCGCCGUAGCGCCGUAACAACUAUGGUGUGCAAUCCAUUACAUGUUAGUCUAACCUAAUCUAAUGAACAUGAUAAUGUAUUGGACAUGUAAUAAGAUGUUAUAUCAAAUUGUUAACAUACAUGUGGUGAAAUUGCAUGAUGAUUUGAUAAGUUGUAUAAGGGCUAAAACAUGAUGUCUAUGAAAGGAUGUAAUGUAGUUUAAACUUAAGAUUUGAGACUUUAGUCUUGUAUGUGUGAUUGAUGGUAAUGAGCAGAACUUAAACUAAGUUAACAAGUUGUGCUAAAAGAGGGAACUAAACCUAUAAGGUUAAUAUUAAUGUAACUAAUGAAUGUUGUGAAUACAUAUGGUAUGUGUGUAGGACUUGUAGUGAACGUGAGUAGUAAUCGUUUAGCCUACUCACGAGGCAAGUUUCCGAACCCUACUCUUAUGUUAAGCAAGUUCAUUAUCAUAACUUGAUUACGUUUAUGCAAGUUCCUUACCCUAUCUUGAUUAUGAUUAUGCCAAUUUUCCUUACUCUAUCAUAAUUAUAAUUACGCAAGUUCCAUGACUCUAAACUUACAUUGAGCAAGUUCUUAAACAAUAAUAUUGUUGAGCAAGCUCCGUAUUCUUAUUUCGAACUGUUCAAAGCUUAAUCAUUCAAGUUCAUGAUUUCAAAUGAAAUGUUCUUAACUCUUUUAAAGUAUUACUUUUGUUAUACAAUGUUCAUUCACUUGUAUAAAGUUGAGAUUCAAUCUUUGAUUUAAAUAUUGAUUAUAUUAUCGCAUUGAAACCUCGAAUGGAUAGUGAAUCCUUAUUGAUUCAACUAAUCCUUAGUUGAUGAUUAUUGAACUCUAAAUUACCCUUGAAGUUAAUCCAAAUCAAACUUCCUUUGGUGCGGACUCUAAUGUCAAAGCUGAGAUAAACAACCCUGUUACGGUGGAUUAUAUUACGCGACAUCGUCAAGAUGUUGUGCACAUACAUGGUACUAAGGGUUGAUCCCCCUAAGAGAAGUAAGGCCCAUAUAGUCUUAUGACUGUUAAAAGUUAAAAGUAGAAAUGCUUGAUAACCUAGGACAUAGUUCAUGGUCUUGUGACCCUCAGAUAUACUUUUGAUUCCUGUUCUAAUCUUGAUUCAAAAACCGUGCUUUCUUUUGUUCAGUAUCCAUUAUUUACUCGCAUGUUAUUAUUAUUACUAUUGUUAAAACUUGUGGGCAAUAGUUGUUCACUCCAUAGUUGUUAAGUCGUCGCCUAGGCGACGCCUAGUCGACCAGUCGCUAAUGAACAGGUAAGGCGAGCGACGACUUGGACGAAGCCGGAAAGGCGAGCGCCUAGAGAAAAAAGGCGUCGACUUGGACCGAAAGGCGACGACUUCGUCGACUAGGACAGAACGGCGACGACUUGGCCUCUAUGGGUUGACCCAAAUGGCAAAAUCUGAACCGGGUCUUAAAAUAAAAACGACGUCGCAAGCUAAAAGGAACAGUACUGAUAAAACAAGUCCUAGAAAAGUCGAUCGAUCGAUCGAUUACCGAGAGGCGAGAGCUAUCAGCUAAGACAGAGACUGCUUAGCGCUUACCGAAAACCGCGAGCGAGCGAGCGAGCGAGAGCGAGCGAGCUGACAGUUGAAGAAGGAAGCGAGUUGGUCGGAGUUGGCAGUCGGCAGUUGAAGAAGGAAGCGAGUUCUUCUUCCCUUUUUCGUUUUCGGCAGUCGACAGGUAAAUGGGUAAUAACUAAUACGCGUUGGGUUUUAUAUAUAUUAUACAUAUAUAUAAUAUUUGUUGUAUAAUUAUUAUACUUGUUUGGUUUUUUUUUUCUUUCUAAUAAUUCAUUUCUGUUGAGUACCCACUGUUUGGCUGUUUGGCUUUAUUUUUUUUCCAUAUCAUUCAUUUCUAAUAAUUAUAAUGCAUGACUGUUAGUAAUACUAUUAAUUAUAUGUAAAUUAGUACUACUAUUAAUUAUAAUGCAAUAAUGCAUGACUGUUAGUAAUAAUUUUGACCUUAACUGCUAUUAUUUUGAACUAUUAUUUGUUAUUACUACUAUUAUUUUGAACUAUUAUUAGUUAUUUGAUAUAACUAUAUAUAUAUUAUAUAGUAUUAAUAAUGUCAGCAUCAGAGAUAUUUGUGGGUGCAUUAUGAGAUUGUGAAUUCUAUAUAAAUAUUAUAUUUUAUGUUUGUCUUAUAUUUUGCUUUUGAUUGUAUUGUGUAGACAAUAAAAUGACGGAAAGUUCGGGGGCCGAUAAUUAUGAUAUAACGAAGGACCCUAAAAGAAAAGCUAAAUCGAACGAUCGGGUUAGAAAUAUGGAUAUUGCCGGAUUUGAGUAAUAAGGAUAUCGUGCAAUGUAUACUUUGUGGGAAGAAAUGUCAUUCGGGCAUCAAAAGGCUCAAACAACAUCUAGCCGGAAAUUAUGGAGAUGUAGCUAAGUGUCCCAAAACAAUAACAGAAAUUAUGAGGGAGAUGCAAGCGGCUUUGAAUAGUAGAAAGAGGAACAAGUCACUUGAGCUAGAUGAUGAUGAUGAUGUAGUAGAAGUGCAGGAAGAACAAUCAUCUGCUCGUCCAACAAUGGCUUCCAAUGCUUCUUCUAACACUAUCCCAAGUUCUGGGACGGCUUCUAAAAGGAAGAAUGUUGUAUUUCAAUUCUAAAAUCCACAACCAAAAGCUAAGACGGUUGAAGCACUUCUAAGGAAAACUUCCGAAGAAGUUGUAGAGGAGAGGCAUAGCAAGCGUUUGAGCCAAACGAGUAUUGAAAGUCGUUUGAGGACACCGGAGGAAAAGGAGAGAGUCCAAAUGCACGUUACCGACUUUUUUUACGAAUGUGGCAUACCAUUCAAUGCUGCAAAUUCAAGGAGAUUUGAAGUAAUGGUCGAGUCCAUAGGGCAAUAUGGGCCGGGUUUCAAGCCUCCAACAUAUCAUAAGUUGAGAGUUCCUUUACUUGAGAAGGCAAAGAAGAAAACCGAUGACUUAAAGAAGAAACAUGAAGUUGCUUGGAAGGAAUACGGCUGCUCACUCAUGUCGGAUGGUUGGACAUAUAAGAGGGGAAGACACUUGUUGAAUUUUCUUGUUAAUAGCCCGGAGGGGACUUAUUUCAUGGGUUCUGUUGAUGCCUCAAGUCAGUCUCAAGAUGCCACAAUGUUGGCAAAUCUACUUGAUAGCAAGAUCGAGAAAAUUGGCCCCGAGUAUGUUGUUCAGGUGGUCACAGACAAUGCCUCUAAUUACAAGGCAGCGGGGCAUAUACUACUGAAGAGGAGACCUACACUGUUUUGGACACCUUGCGCCGCUCACUGCCUUGACCUUAUGUUAGAGGACAUAAGCAAGUUGAAGAAAUUUCAGCCCACAAUCACAAAUGCAAGGAGAAUUACAACAUUCAUUUAUAGACAUGGUCGUCUUCUCAGUGCGAUGAGGGAGAAAACGAAUGGGAGGGAUCUUGUGAGACCCGCAGUUACUAGAUUUGCUACAGCUUUCCUCACCUUGCAAAGUUUGUACAAGAAUAAAGAUGCAUUGAGGCAUUUGUUCAUCAGCGAGGAUUGGUCAAAAUCAAAGUUGUCGGCUACUGAAGCGGGAAAGAAAGUAUGUGAUACUGUUAUUUCAACAACAUUUUGGCAUACUGUUGAGGAUUGCAUUAGGGCGUCACAACCACUUCUUAUAGUCUUGAGGAUUGUUGAUAGUGAUGAGAAGCCUGCUAUGCCUGAAGUUAUUGCUGCGAUGGAAUGCGCGAAUAAAAAAAUCAAAGAUGUAUUUGAUAACAAACAAAGACUGUAUAAGAAGGUGAUUGAAAUUGUUGAGCGGCGAUGGGAAAAUCAAAUGGAGCAAAAAUUAUAUGGGGCUGCGUUGUUUCUCAAUCCAGGCAAGUACUUUGAUAUCAAAGAGGAACGUCGGUUGUUUGCUAAUGCUUUACGAGAUGACUUCAAUGACGUUCUUGCAAAGAUGGUGUCCGAGUUAGAUUUGCUAGACAAGAUAAGCAAUCUAGCCGACAACUAUGAUGCUUCUCGCGAUACUUUUGCAAGAGAAAUGGUGAUUAGGCAACGGAAAAUAAAGAAUCCUCGUACGUAUAUUAAAAUAUAUAUAAAGAUAUAUUUUGAUUAUAAUUUAUAUACAUUCUUCAUUUCCUCCCUUUAAAAAUAUUUAUAUUUCUUUUAAAUGUUUGCUAGUUGAUUGGUGGAAUGCUUUUGGAGCGCGAGCUAUUGAGCUAUCCUCAUUUGCAAAAAGAAUUCUAGGCCUCUGUUGUUCUUCUUCCGGUUGCGAGCGCAAUUGGAGUACAUUUGAGUUUGUAAGUACUUUCUAUUGUUAGUUCAAAUUUCAAAAGUAAUAAAUCAUUCACUAUUAUUAAAAUUUUAUCAUUAAUAUUAUUAUUUUUUGUUCUAUUUAUUUUAGAUUCAUACGAAGAAGAGGAAUAGAUUGGAACACAAACGAUUGAGUGACUUGGUGUAUGUCCAAUACAAUCGAAAGAUCGACUCAAGGUUCCAAAAGAGGCGUGAACUUGGCAAUAAUUUUGAUCCAUUAGUCAUUGAUGACUUUGAAUGGGGUAAUGAAUGGAUCGAUAAUGAUGCCGAUGUUGUUCAUCCCAGGGGGAAUCUUACAUGGAAUGAUGUGGAUCGAGCAACCGGUGCAUCCAACACGCUUGAGGGUCGCAAUCUUUCAAGGAAUGCUCGUGCUAAUACUAGUAAUAAUCUAGUGACAUACUCUCGACGUGGUGGUGGUUCAACUUCAAGGGAAUCAAGGUUGAUAGAUUCCAACUCCGAUAAUGAAGUUGAUGAAGAAGAGAGAAUUCCAAAUGAUGAUGAAGAUGUGGAGGAUGAUUUUGGAGAAAGACCACCACCUACGCCUUUGAAUGAGAGUAGUUCUCGUGGAAGAGAUGGAGAUGACCUUUUUUAUGAUGAUUUUGAUUGAAUGAUGUUUCUAGACUAGUGUGGAGAGUCUAAACAUUAUUUUGGCUUGCUAUGGUGGUGUUUUAUUAGUUAUUAGACUACAUAUUUGUGAUGG